rnacentral:lncRNA from 1 species
UUACUGAUAUUUCCACAAUAUAAAAUGAUAUUUUCACAACAAAAUUGUCAUUAUAGAUUCUAUAGCGACAAUUUUCAUCGUCGUUAUACAUCUACAUCGAUAUUUUUGAUGUGAAACUAUCAAAAAAUGUUGUGAAAAUAUCAAUUUUCAUUUUGGUACAGAGAAACAUAUGUGCCUAAAGAGUUAUCAAUAAAUAAUUAUUACG